rnacentral:rRNA from 1 species
GGGGCCCAACCUCCCAUCCGUGUCUAUUGUACCCUGUUGCUUCGGCGGGCCCGCCGCUUGUCGGCCGCCGGGGGGGCGCCUCUGCCCCCCGGGCCCGUGCCCGCCGGAGACCCCAACACGAACACUGUCUGAAAGCGUGCAGUCUGAGUUGAUUGAAUGCAAUCAGUUAAAACUUUCAACAAUGGAUCUCUUGGUUCCGGCAUCGAUGAAGAACGCAGCGAAAUGCGAUAACUAAUGUGAAUUGCAGAAUUCAGUGAAUCAUCGAGUCUUUGAACGCACAUUGCGCCCCCUGGUAUUCCGGGGGGCAUGCCUGUCCGAGCGUCAUUGCUGCCCUCAAGCCCGGCUUGUGUGUUGGGUCGCCGUCCCCCUCUCCGGGGGGACGGGCCCGAAAGGCAGCGGCGGCACCGCGUCCGAUCCUCGAGCGUAUGGGGCUUUGUCACAUGCUCUGUAGGAUUGGCCGGCGCCUGCCGACGUUUUCCAACCAUUCUUUCCAGGUUGACCUCGGAUCAGGUAGGGAUACCCGCUGAACUUAAGCAUAUCAAUAAGCGGAGGAA